rnacentral:misc_RNA from 1 species
GGAGGUGUGGGUUUUGGGGGGGAGGAGGAGGGCGGGGGUGUGGUUGCAAAAUGCAAACCCAAUGCAUUAGAGGUUGCUAGCUUAAGCAACAGGUGGACGGAGGACAUGAUCUUGAGAUGUAUCCACUGCAGCAGGUGGCAUAAACUGCCACAUGGCAACUCCUGGGUAACCAAUGAAAGGCACUAACUUGUUUCCAGGUGCUUGGCCUUGGGUAGCAAAUGUAGCAGGAAUUGCAGGUGGCGGAGGCAAGAAGCUAGGUUGUGCAUUCAGAGCUUUCAGCUGCUGCUCCAACUUGUCCUUCUCUGCCUUCAGCCUAUGCUUCUCAUCCCGAAGCUCAUUCUUUUCAGCCUUCAACUCUUUGAUCUUCUCUUGAAGACUUGAAUUUGAGUCCUUCAGCUUCUGAGCUUCACCUCUUAACUGAGUCACCAUUCGGACAGCAUCAACCAAAAUAGCAGCCUUAUCCGUUUUAGGAGGUCUUCCAGGCUCCAAGAUAGAGCCCAAUUCCAAAAACCUAGCAGUCAACCAAAUACAGGAUGUGGGUACCCCAGGGAGAGAGAAAAAUAGACAGACAGACAGAGAAACAAGAGAACAAAGGAGUACUUGUCAUUUAGCCUAUCCCUCCUCAACUUCUCCCUACACGCUUUGGAGCUAGAAGCACUACAUGAUUCAGACCUACCCCUGCAGCAGGAAUUGUAAGAGAAUGAGAGAUGGGAAAACAUUCCUUCAUUAACAUAAAAUAAUAAACAGAUAAUUAGACAACAGAUGUAUUACACUUCUAUCCAAAAAUAAAGAGAGGUCACGGGGCAGGGAAGGGGAGAAGUUAACAUAAGCUCAAGCACAUGAUAUUUCCUUUAACAAUCCAAACAAAUUAUAAUUGAGGAAUAAUUUUCAUGGCACUAGCAUAUAGGGUGAGCAAAAUUCAGUUAAAACCAAAAAAAACAACCAACUAAUUUAAUUUGGAAAUUCAGUUCAGUUUUUGGUAAUUCAGUUCAGAUCAGCUUUUAAUUUUAAAAAAUUUGGUCUGUUUAGUUUGGUUUUCUUAAGGAAAAAAAUCAGUAGAAUCGAACAAAAUACUUUUAUCUAUUUAAUUAAUUAUUAUUAGGUGUCAUAUUAGAGUUAAAAAUAGGUUAAAAAAAAGAGUCCAAGAUGAAGCCCAAAUUGACAAAUCGAACAGACCGAACCAAAAUGGUUCGGUUUGGUUCGAUUUGGUCAGCUAAAAAUUUCAGUUUGUUUGGUUUAGUUUGUUCGGUUCAAUUCGAUUUGAUUUUCUCACUAACUUGGUUCGGUUCGACCUAAUAAAAACUUGAUUCAUUCAGAUUUUUGGUUUCCCAUAUCAAACCAAACUGAACCAACCAAUGUUCACUCCGACUAGCAUAGUGACACCUAAAAUUGAAUCAAUAUACAGAAACUCUUCACCACAUAAAUGUAUAUUGUAUAGUUCUGUUCCACAUGUAAUGGCCUAUUGUAAGUGACUUCAAAAGUGACCAUGACUAGCAACUGAAAAUAAAAGAGAAUUCUGAUUUAAUUCCAUAAAUAACACCUGCCCAGUGUUGUCAAGUCACAAUAAAAAGGAGGAAAAAAAGGAUGGCUUAGAUUCUCAGUUCCAGUAGAGAAUACUUUCUAAACAAAGUAAUAAAGUCACAGUCUCGCACCAACUAGUGAAAACUUUGCACCCCAACCCUAAAAGAAAAGGAAAAGCAAUUUCCUUUGAUGCUAAAUAUUGCACAUUAAAAUGACAUUGGUAUACCUCUUCUUGCAGCUGGACUCCUUCUGGGCGUCAGAAUCCCCAAAUGGUUCAUCAAUUUCCACACCGACAUUAGUUGAACCAUUUGGGUUUUGCACUGGCCACGAAAAGCCGGUAACCGGUACAGAGAAAUUUGCAUCAGGAACAGGGAUAUCGUCGAUCAAGCCGCACUCGAUCAGCCAAUUAGUGUUCUCUGGGGAUACCAUUUCCAAUGAUCGUGGAUUGA